AUUAGAUCCGGUUAAUUUUAUCAACAAGAUAUUAGAGCCAACUCCAGUCUUAAUAUUGAGUCACCCACAAAUGUUCAGUCCUGCAAACUUCAUGUUCCAAAUGUCUAGCCUUGGGCAUGAGAGAGGGUUUCUUGCAUCCCACAUCAACUAGGUAGCGGACAAAAAUGCUUCAUAUAUGACUUAGACAAUCCUCCCCCCAUAAGGUGUCUUUAGGAUUAGAGUUAGGCCCGCUCAAUACAUUUUAUCAACAUGGUAUCAAAG
rnacentral:misc_RNA from 1 species